rnacentral:rRNA from 1 species
CCUACGGGUGGCAGCAGUGGGGAAUAUUGGGCAAUGGGCGCAAGCCUGACCCAGCAACGCCGCGUGAAGGAAGAAGGCUUUCUGGUUGUAAACUUCUUUUCUGAGGGACGAAGAAAGUGACGGUACCUCAGUAAUACGCCACGGCUAACUACGUGCCAGCAGCCACGGUAAUACGGAGGUGGCAAGCGUUAUCCGGAUUGAUUGGGUGUAAAGGGCGUGUAGGCGGGAAAGCAAGUCAGAUGUGAAAACUCAGGGCUCAACCCUGAGCCUGCAUUUGAAACUGUUGUUCUUGAGUGCUGGGGAGGCAAUCGGAAUUCCGUGUGUAGCGGUGAAAUGCGUAGAUAUACGGAGGAACACCAGUGGCGAAGGCGGAUUGCUGGACAGUAACUGACGUUGAGGCUCGAAAGCGUGGGGAGCAAACAGGAUUAGAUACCCGUGUAGUC